UUGGGUGUAUGGCAGGGAUAAGAAACU
rnacentral:piRNA from 1 species